rnacentral:tRNA from 1 species
UAGCUCAGACGGUAAAGCAUCUGCCUGCAAUGCAGGAGACCCAGGUUCAAUACCUGG